rnacentral:rRNA from 1 species
UACGUAGGGUGCAAGCGUUGUCCGGAAUUAUUGGGCGUAAAGAGCUUGUAGGCGGUUUGUCGCGUCUGCUGUGAAAUUUCGGGGCUCAACCCCGAACUUGCAGUGGGUACGGGCAGGCUAGAGUGUGGUAGGGGAGACUGGAAUUCCUGGUGUAGCGGUGAAAUGCGCAGAUAUCAGGAGGAACACCGAUGGCGGAGGCAGGUCUCUGGGCCACUACUGACGCUGAGAAGCGAAAGCAUGGGGAGCGAACAGG